rnacentral:lncRNA from 1 species
CAUUUACAAGUAGGAUCAAAUAUGCAAGGGUAAAAAUAUCCAUUCAUGUCUCAUUUAACACCAUUAAGUUCACUUAAUGGACUAGGAUAAGUCAAUGUCUUCAUUUUUAAAAAACAGGGGUCAAAUCUGUAGAGCGAAAAAAAAGUUGAAAUACGUAGUAGGUCAGUUCCCCAAAUAAAUAGGUAUAUAUAGUUCUAAACGGUAUAUUAGUAUUUCCGUUGAAAUGAGAAGAAGUGAAAAUUUGGGAGGAUUUCAGUCGGGUUUCACUGUUGGAUGGCUGAAGGAGAGAGCCUUGGCCGUUGGAUCAAAACCUCCACGGUCGCCUGAACAGAAGUUCGUACAUGGGCCUUGCGCUUCCUCUGGGCCGACAUGCGAUGCGGCCCAAUAACGAAAUUCGCCACUACAAAAGGCGGCCGCUCGCCACGGCUCGUAGCCGUAGACAGGUAGACUGCUUCUAGAAGGCGCGCCCACGCUGUUAGAAAUCACCAAACAAUCGGCAAGCUUGAUCAUGAACAGACCUACGUGCAGCAUUUGGACAAUCUGAAGAACGAGGAAGAUCAGGAUUGGUGCAGCGUAAACUUGGCUGCUUUUCUGGUUUUCUUAUUGCUGUAUAUAUAGACUCUCCUAAACAUAGAAACACUCCUAAACAUAUAGAAACACCCCUAAACAAAGAAACAAACUCUAAAUAAGGCAGGAGAAACACGCUAAUCCAAAAUAGGAAAAUAAGCUAAACUUAGGAAAAUAUAAUCAGCAUAGGAUUAUCUUUAACAUUCUCCUCCUAAUCCUGAUGCUGGAGUUUGAUGUUGAUGACGCCGAGUUGAUCACGCAGAUCCUGGAACUUCACGCGACCAAGCGACUUUGUCAAAAUGUCCGCGAGCUGAUCCUCCGUAGAAAUCUGCUCGAGAACGAUCUUCCCGUCCUCCACGCACUCUCUGAUGUAGUGAAAUUUUGUAUCUAUGUGUUUGCUCCGAUCGUGAUGGACGGGAUUCUUGCUUAGAUCAAUGGCAGACUUGUUGUCCACCCUGAGUACCGGCGCACUAAGCUCUGACCCGACAAGAUCGUUCAGCAGCCGAGAUAGCCAUACGCCUUGGCAUGCUCCAUGUGCUGCAGCACUGUACUCAGCUUCGCAUGACGAGAGUGCCACCACCUUUUGCUUGCUUGACUGCCAGGUGAUGGGUCUGCCACCCAGGCAGUACAGCACGCCACUGGUGCGCCUUCGAUCGUCGAUGUCCCCGGCGUGAUCGCUAUCACUAUAGCCGAUCAACCGGUUGGGCUCUUCGCCCUUCUUGCUGUAGAACACACCAAGUUCCUGGGUACCCGAGAUGUACCUUAGUAGAUGCUUCACUGCCGCACGAUGAUCCUCGCGUGGCUGCUCCAAGAAUCUGCUCACAAACCCGACGGCAAAUGCAAUGUCUGGCCGGGUAUUCACCAGAUAUCGAAGCCCUCCAACGAUACUCCGUAGCAUCCACCAAUGGACUGCUACUCACCUUACUCAGUUUACACCGCGCCUCUAGGGGCACAGCGCAGGGGUUGCACCCCUUCAUACCGCUCCGCUCAACGAGUUUCGCGGCGUACGCCGCCUGGCAGAUGCUGAUCCCGGUCGCCGUCUGCUUCACCUCCAACCCAAGGUAGUAGGACAGCCGCCCCAGAUCGCUCAUCUUGAAUAACUUCAUCAUCUCGCCCUUGAACUUGACGAUGUCGCCGUUUCCCAUGAUGAUGAGAUCAUCGACAUAUACGCCGACCACCAGGCGGGAGCUCCCGGUGCCCCGAACAUACGCGCCAUGUUCCGCCAUGCACUUCUGGAAACCAAGUGACACUAGACUUUUGUCAAGCUUGGCAUUCCAGGCCCUGGGUGCUUGUCGAAGUCCAUACAACGCCUUGCACAGCCGCAACACCUUGUGCUCGGCCUUGUCGACGAUGUACCCCGCCGGCUGGGCGACAUGCACCUCCUCCUCAAGAUCACCAUUGAGGAAUGCGCUCUUCACGUCCAUGUGAUGAACUUCCCACCCUGCAGAGGCAGCAAGUGCAAGUAGCAUUCUCACCGACUCUAGGCGAGCUACCGGAGCGAACACCUCCUCGAAGUCGAUGCCGGCGCGCUGGACAUACCCCUUUGCCACCAGUACCGCACGGGAUGCUGGUGCUGGACAUCUUCGCUCACUUCUGCGAGAUGUUCUUGGGCAUCUUCCCAUCGAUGGACUUGUUCCCCCGCCUCUUUACCGUCCGCUCCAUCGGGAGGAACAAACGGUUGGGCGUGCCGGUGCUGGCUGGGUGCGUGUACUUCUCCCCUCGCGCCGGCGUGGAGUUUCCACCGAUGGUCGUGAAUGUUAGAAAUCACCAAACAAUCGGCAAGCUUGAUCAUGAACAGACCUACGUGCAGCAUUUGGACAAUCUGAAGAACGAGGAAGAUCAGGAUUGGUGCAGCGUAAACUUGGCUGCUUUUCUGGUUUUCUUAUUGCUGUAUAUAUAGACUCUCCUAAACAUAGAAACACUCCUAAACAUAUAGAAACACCCCUAAACAAAGAAACAAACUCUAAAUAAGGCAGGAGAAACACGCUAAUCCAAAAUAGGAAAAUAAGCUAAACUUAGGAAAAUAUAAUCAGCAUAGGAUUAUCUUUAACAUUCUCCUCCUAAUCCUGAUGCUGGAGUUUGAUGUUGAUGACGCCGAGUUGAUCACGCAGAUCCUGGAACUUCACGCGACCAAGCGACUUUGUCAAAAUGUCCGCGAGCUAAUCCUCCGUAGAAAUCUGCGCGAGAACGAUCUUCCCGUCCUCCAUGCACUCUCUGAUGUAGUGAAAUUUUGUAUCUAUGUGUUUGCUCCGAAAGUGAUGGACGGGAUUCUUGCUUAGAUCAAUGGCAGACUUGUUGUCCACCCUGAGUACCGGCGCACUAAGCUCUGACCCGACAAGAUCGUUCAGCAGCCGAGAUAGCCAUACGCCUUGGCAUGCUCCAUGUGCUGCAGCACUGUACUCAGCUUCGCAUGACGAGAGUGCCACCACCUUUUGCUUGCUUGACUGCCAGGUGAUGGGUCUGCCACCCAGGCAGUACAGCAUGCCACUGGUGCUCCUUCGAUCGUCGAUGUCUCUGGCGUGAUCGCUAUCACUAUAGCCGAUCAACCGGUUGGGCUCUUCGCCCUUCUUGCUGUAGAACACACCAAGUUCCUGGGUACCCGAGAUGUACCUUAGUAGAUGCUUCACUGCCGCACGAUGAUCCUCGCGUGGCUGCUCCAAGAAUCGGCUCACAAACCCGACGGCAAAUGCAAUGUCUGGCCGGGUAUUCACCAGAUAUCGAAGCCCUCCAACGAUACUCCGUAGCAUCCACCAAUGGACUGCUACUCACCUUACUCAGUUUACACCGCGCCUCUAGGGGCACAGCGCAGGGGUUGCACCCCUUCAUACCGCUCCGCUCAACGAGUUUCGCGGCGUACGCCGCCUGGCAGAUGCUGAUCCCGGUCGCCGUCUGCUUCACCUCCAACCCAAGGUAGUAGGACAGCCGCCCCAGAUCGCUCAUCUUGAAUAACUUCAUCAUCUCGCCCUUGAACUUGACGAUGUCGCCGUUUCCCAUGAUGAUGAGAUCAUCGACAUAUACGCCGACCACCAGGCGGGAGCUCCCGGUGCCCCGAACAUACGCGCCAUGUUCCGCCAUGCACUUCUGGAAACCAAGUGACACUAGACUUUUGUCAAGCUUGGCAUUCCAGGCCCUGGGUGCUUGUCGAAGUCCAUACAACGCCUUGCACAGCCGCAACACCUUGUGCUCGGCCUUGUCGACGAUGUACCCCGCCGGCUGGGCGACAUGCACCUCCUCCUCAAGAUCACCAUUGAGGAAUGCGCUCUUCACGUCCAUGUGAUGAACUUCCCACCCUGCAGAGGCAGCAAGUGCAAGUAGCAUUCUCACCGACUCUAGGCGAGCUACCGGAGCGAACACCUCCUCGAAGUCGAUGCCGGCGCGCUGGACAUACCCCUUUGCCACCAGUCGUGCCUUGUGUUUCACGAUGGCACCGUGUUCAUCGCGUUUCACCUUGAAGACCCACUUGAGGCCGAUACUCUAUGCCCGGUUGGGAGGUCGACAAGUUCCCAAGUCCCAUUUUCCCGGAUGGACUUCAUCUCCUCGUCCAUCGUGCGCUGCCAGCGCGCAUCCUUUUCCGCCUCGGCAAACAACGUCGGCUCCUCCGCGGUUACCACGAAUAGCUCCUCGCGGAGUUUGCGCUCAGCCGGUCCCGGUGGUGACGCCGAGCCGAGAAUGUCGUCGAUACGACGGUAGCGAAGCGGGGCGUCGUCGUGGUCAGCAUCAAGAUUAUCCUCCUCCGCGGGUGAAGGCAGGACAGAUUCCACCGGUGGAUCUUUGUCCACGGGUGGGCUUGGAGACGGCGCUGAGUUUGGUGCAGGCGUGUGCGGUGAGUCUAGAGCUUCCCCUGGCUCCACCCCGAUUUGUGCCGAGGACAUUGUUGCCGAGUGGUAUACCGUGGUGUACUCGAUGGUGAAGUCGGAGUCGACGUCAGCAGCUGCCUUGCCACCCCAAUUCCAUUGGGCAUCUUCGUCAAACACCACAUCACGGGAAAUGUGGAUGCGUCGUGUCACCGGGUCGUACACACGAUACGCCUUGGAACCAGGCUCAUACCCGACGAAAAUCAUGGGCCGACUGCGAUCAUCUAGCUUCUUCGCAUUCGGCGUCGUCACCUUAACAUGGGCCACGCACCCGAACGUGCGCAAGUGAUGCACGUUCGGUUGAGUUCCAUUCCAGAGCUCAUAAGGUGUCUUGCCGUCGAUGCUUUUGGACGAACUCCUGUUCAGCAAAUACACGGCGGUGUUCACCGCCUCCCCCCAGAACAUACCUGGGAGCCCCUUCGCCUUCAUCAUACUCCGCGCUGUGCCCACCACCGACUGGUUCCAGCGUUCGGCGACGCCGUUUUGCUGCGGUGAGUAUGGGGCUGUCAGCUCACGUCGCAGCCCGAGCUCCGCGCAGUACUUGGUGAAGUGUCCAACCGUGAACUCGCCCCCAUGAUCAGUGCGAAGCGCUCGGAGUUUGUGGCCGCUCUUGCGCUCGGCGGCCGCCUGAACUCGCUUGAUGGCAUCUGGUGCAGCAUCCUUGGUGGCAAGGAGCGUGAGCCACAUAUAGCGGAUGUAGUCGUCCACGAGUAGGAGGAAGUAGCGAUUGCCACUUGGGGUCGCUGGCGUGAUGGGCCCGCAGAGAUCACCAUGAAUCAAUGCGAGCGGCUCGGAGGCGCGAUGCAGGGUCUUAUGGGGAAAUGGGGCUCGUCGAUGCUUGCCGGCGAGGCAUGCUUCGCAAACCUGCUCCACCUGGGACAGGAUUGGUAAGCCUCGUACGAGAGACUCUCUCCCCAUCUUGCGCAGCGCAGCAAAGUUGAUGUGCCUGAACCGACCGUGCCAACGCCACGCAUCCUCACCUGCGCGCGCCAUCAGGCAAACCGGUUGUGCAAGGUUGACGUUGAGCACGUAGAGUCGGCCUGGACUGCGCAUAAUGCGGGCAAGCAGACGUCGUUCCUCGUCCCACACGCGCAUGACGUCGUCCUCGACCUCCACCUUGAAGCCAGUUUCGUCCAGUUGGCCGAUGCUGAUGAUGUUGGCGGCGAGGCGCGAGAGAUAAUACGUAUAGUGGAGCAUGCGAUGUUCGCCGUUCUUGCAUGCAAACAGGACCGUGCCACGUCCUUGAAUGCGCACGAGCGAACCGUCCUCGAGCCGAACAUUCCCGGUUAUCUUGGUGUCGAUGUCGCAAAAAGCCGCCCUUGAGCCGGUCAUAUGGUUAGAUGCACCGGAGUCGAGGAUCCAUUGUUUGUGAUCGUGGUCGGCGGCGUCGUCCACCGCAGCGAACACUUUCUUCUCCACCAACUCAACAAUGUCUGAGCAUGGCCGCGACGUGGGCUGCGACGGCGACACGCAUGCGUCGUCCGUUUGUUCCACCACAUCGAUGCAGCCACCUGUCAAGAGCAUAAGCGUGGGCUCAUCCUCCGUGAGCUCAUCCUCCUCUUGAGUGACAUGAACCUGCUCCUGCUUGGGCUUGCUCCUGCAUUCUUUGGCCCAAUGACCAAGUUUGCCACAAUUUCGGCACUUGUCCGUCUUACGCGCCGGGCUUGCAUUAUCACCACCACCACCGCCAGUGCGCCCUUGCCUGCCACGGCCGUUGCCGCCGCCAUUGCCCUUCUUGGCCCCCUCCUCCUUCUUCUUGGGGCGUUAAAGCCACUCCUCCUCGAUGAGGUAGAGUUUGCCGCUGCCACCUAGUGAAGACGAGGACGACGACUGGAUGGAGUCCUCGGCUGCCUUAAGGCGUCCGGUGAUCUCCUCCAGGGACAAAGUAGAGAUGUCGAGCAAUGUCUCAAUUGAGAGAACGAGUUGAGAGAACCUAGGUCGUGCAACGCGGAGGUACUUCUCGACCACCUUGCCGUCUGGCUCGGGAUCGCCCAACGUGGACAACUGUGUGACGAUGGUGUUGAGCCGCAUGGCGAAGUCUUCGACCGACUCCCGUCGCGGAAUGCGAGAGCCUCAUACUCGGAGCGCAGUUUUUGUGCACUUGCCUUGCGAAUGCGGUCGUUGCCGACGCGCAUAGUCUUGAUGCAUUCCCAUGCCGCCUUCGCCGUCUCCUUGGUAGCUGUUAGGAAUAAUAGAUCAAGACACAUGAUUUAACGUGGAAAAAUCCCUCUAAAGUAGAGAGGAAAAAAACCACGGGAGAAAUCCACUAAUAAAGGUACGGGAUUACAUGUACAAGGGUGGCCUAUAUUUAUAGGCAUUGAAUAAGACUAGCACUAGAACUAGGACUAGUACUACGACUAGGAUUAGGACUAGUACUAGGAUUAGGAUUAGGUUAUUUGAGUCAUAACCCAACAAACCUCCCCUUGAAUCAAAAUCCCUGUAAACAUGAACUAGAAAAAAAAUGUCUCCAAAACCCCGAAGGGUAGCUAUGCACCAUGAACACCUACUAAGUUCAGCCAAUGCUUGAACUUAGUAUUGGAAAGUGACUUCGUGAGCAUAUCUGCAGGAUUGUCUUUAGUGUGUAUCUUUCCCACAGUAACUUGCCCUUGAGCAACAAUAUCACGAAUAAAGUGGUGCUUAAUAUCAAUGUGCCUGGUCUUGGCAUGAAACAUGUCGUUCUUCGUCAAAAAAAUAGCACUCUGUCUAUCCCAAUAAACAACAUUAGUACCCUGUCGAAUNNNNNNNNNNNNNNNNNNNNNNNNNNNNNNNNNNNNNNNNNNNNNNNNNNNNNNNNNNNNNNNNNNNNNNNNNNNNNNNNNNNNNNNNNNNNNNNNNNNNCCUCCCACUUAUCAUCAGUCAAACCAUCUGGUCUAGCCCCCAAUGCCUUCGGAACACCAACUUGGGUGAGAAUAGCUUUCAUCUGAAUCUGCCAUAUGCUGAAACUGAUCUUGCCAUCAAAUUUCUCGAUGUCAAAUUUGGACGACAUAUUAAAGAGAAAAAAUAUGCUAGAUCAAAAAUAUACGGUAGAUCUGAAGAAAGAGAAAAAAAAUUGCCUGGUACAACUUGGUGUGUUCGUGCAGCAAAUUCACCGAAAAAAGGAGACUUAGACUUGCUUUCCUCCUUGUUCACGUGAAGGAAACCAACAGAGCAAGCAUGCACCCAAAAAAAGACACCUUGUUGCCUUGCUGCUGUACUGCUGCACAGAUGGAUGGGAAGGACAGAUGGAUGGGAAGCGGUUGUACGUUCGGAUGAAGCGGAGCGACGUGCGGCGAGAGGUGGCUGGCCGAGACGCGACAGCGAACAGGAUGAUCUGCGCCCGCAGGAUGAACGUGUCGCCAGCCGAAGAACGGAUCAGAUCGCUCUGAUACCACUUGUUAGGAAUAAUAGAUCAAGACACAGGAUUUAACAUGGAAAAAUCCCUCUAAAGUAGAGAGGAAAAAAACCACGGGAGACAAAUCCACUAAUAAAGGUACGGGAUUAUAUGUACAAGGGUGGUCUAUAUUUAUAGGCAUUGAAUAAGACUAGCACUAGGACUAGUACUAAUACUACGACUAGGAUUAGGAUUAGGUUAUUUGAGUCAUAACCCAACAGUAGCCAACGUCGAGAUCAUCUCGACAGGGACAGCGCUGGAUAUGGCGUCCAACGCCAUACGAUCUUCAUGUAAUUCCACCGCGAUCCCUCCCGGAUCGAUGGCUCCCCAUAAGCAUCGUGCUUGUAGCUUGAUCUUCAUAAACAAAGACCACUCGUCGUAGUUCGUCUUCGUGAGCACGGGGUAGUUCGCCGGGCCUCCCGCCUCCUUGACCACGCGGUGUAUCACCAGCCCGCGGUCGUUCCCGCCACCACCCGGGGCGUGGCUGCCGGAACCUCCUGGAGUGCGCUCCGUCGGGGAAGACGAGCGACGGUGAGGCAUGAGUAUGACUUCGGUCGCACGAUCUCGUGUUCAAGCUCUAAACCUCGCUCUGAUACCAACUCAGGGAGGAUCCAUUGUUUGUGAUCGUGGUCGGCGGCAUCGUCCACCGCAGCGAACACUUUCUUCUCCACCAACUCAACAAUGUCUGAGCAUGGCCGCGACGUGGGCUGCGACGGCGACACGCAUGCGUCGUCUGUUUGUUCCACCUCAUCGAUGCAGCCACCUGUCAAGAGCAUAAGCGUGGGCUCAUCCUCCGUGAGCUCAUCCUCCUCUUGAGUGACAUGAACCUGCUCCUGCUUGGGCUUGCUCCUGCAUUCUUUGGCCCAAUGACCAAGUUUGCCACAAUUUCGGCACUUGUCCGUCUUACGCGCCGGGCUUGCGUUAUCACCACCACCACCGCCACUGCGCCCUUGCCUGCCGCCGCCGCCAUUGCCCUUCUUGGCCACCUCCUCCUUCUUCUUGUGGCGUUCAAGCCACUCCUCCUCGGUGAGGUAGAGUUUGCCGCUGCCACCUAGUGAAGACGAGGACGACGACUGGAUGGAGUCCUCGGCUGCCUUAAGGCGUCCGGUGAUCUCCUCCAGGGGCAAAGUAGAGAUGUCGAGCAAUGUCUCAAUUGAGAGAACGAGUUGAGAGAACCUGGGUCGUGCAACGCGGAGGUACUUCUCGACCACCUUGUCGUCUGGCUCGAGAUCGCUCAAUGUGGACAACUGCGUGACGAUGGUGUUAAGCCGCAUGGCGAAGUCCUCGACCGACUCCCCGUCGCGGAAUGCGAGAGCCUCGUACUCGGAGCGCAGUUUUUGUGCACUUGCCUUGCGAAUGCGAUCGUUGCCGACGUGCAUAGUCUUGAUGCAUUCCCAUGCCGCCUUCGCCGUCUCCUUGGUAGCCAACGUCGAGAUCAUCUCGACAGGGACAGCGCUGCAUAUGGCGUCCAACGCCAUCCGAUCUUCAUGGAAUUCCACAGCGAUCCCUCCCGGAUCGAUGGCUCCCCAUAAGCAUCGUGCUUGCAGCUUGAUCUUCAUCAACAAAGACCACUCGUUGUAAUUCGUCUUCGUGAGCACGGGGUAGUUCGUCGGGCCUCCCGCCUCCUUGACCACGCGGUGUAUCACCAGCCCGCGGUCAUUCCCGCCACUGCCCAGGGCGUGGCUGCCGGAACCUCCUGGAGUGCGCUCCGUCGGGGAAGACGAGCGACGGCGAGGCAUGAGUACGACUUCAGUCACACGAUCUCGUGUUCAAGCUCUAAACCUUGCUCUGAUACCAAUUGUUAGAAAUCACCAAACAAUCGGCAAGCUUGAUCAUGAAUAGACCUACGUGCAGCAUUUGGACAAUCUGAAGAACGAGGAAGACAAGGAUUGGUGCAGCGUAAACUUGGCUGUUUUUCUGGUUUUCUUAUUGCUGUAUAUAUAGACUCUCCUAAACAUAGAAACACUCCUAAACAUAUAGAAACACCCCUAAACAAAGAAACAAACUCUAAAUAAGGCAGGAGAAACAUGCUAAUCCAAAAAAGGAAAAUAAGCUAAACUUAGGAAAAUAUAAUCAGCACAGGAUUAUC